CCUAGAUGGUGUUCAGUGACAAGACCCAAACUAUUUGCAAAACUCCAGGACAUGCGUCUUUCUGCGGACAAAAACAGACAUUAUCAAAAGUAAGUACAGACACAACAUCCACAGAGACAGAGAAAAGGGUAGGCUGACAAAGGAAAUAUUUACCUAUGACAGAGUGUCAGUCGGGGGGCCCUAAGGUAGCAAAUGAAGCAAGAUGAAGGAAAGGCCAAUUUGUGGUGAACGAAAUCUCCACAUUUUAAUGAGGUGAGCUAAGGAAUUCUGAGCUACGCUGUAAAUCAAUUUGCAGCCUUUUCCCAAACCGUUUUUACAAAUCAUUGGUUUGCAUUGAAAAUAACCUUUUUUUUAAAGCCAUCCACCACCAGGUUUCUUUAAUAGAAUGCAAUGUAUAUUACCCCCAAUAAUGACAAAAAAAAAAAAAUACUUUCCUAUAUUGUCUCCGGGGGAGACCAAUAAAUUGGCUGGGCUCCCAUUUCUUUCCAAGGGGCACCUUUGCCACGUUUCAUACAUGCUCACGCACAGACAUGUACGCGACUGAACUUGUUUGAAGUUUGACCACUUCUUAGCUCUGCAGCCCUGGGCACACGUUACUACAAUUCACUGCCCCUCAGUUUCCUCAUCUAGUGAAAUUAUAAUAGUGCCUGCCUCGGGGGUUGCUGUAAGGAGCGAGUUAAGACACGACGCUCCUAAGGCAGCGUCCGCCGUGUAUUUAUUACUAGGCUGGCAUCUGCUAACAUCGCAGACCACCGUUUGCAUCAGUGUCGCGUUGUGUUAUCGACAACAGUGCUUUUUGUUUUUUUAACGUUUAUUUAUUUUUGAGACAGAGAGAGACAGAGCUUGAACGGGGGAGAGUCAGAGAGAGAGGGAGACACAGAAUCUGAAACAGGCUCUAGGCUCUGAGCCAUCAGCACAGAGCCUGAUGCGGGGCUAGAACUCAUGAACCGCGAGAUCAUGACCUGAGCCGAAGUCGGACGCUUAACCGACUGAGCCACCCAGGCACCCCAACAGUGCUUUUAUUUACGGUCACCCACAGCGUUGCGAUUAGACUCCAAAACUUCAACUCUGUAUUUGAAGUGGUUCUAUGAAGGCGCUGAACUGCAGUGCAAAACCAUCCCUGGGGCCGAGCGAUGACUGUCUUGCUCCCAGUCUCCCGAGCCCCAGUAAGUCGCCUUCCUUGUAAAUGUCAAGCUGAAACGCUGCUGCAGGGUGUGGUUGGCAUGCCACUGAACGGUUUGUAGGCUGAGUCACAGGAAAAUUCCGCUAAGAGCCUCUAAAAAGGCAAACAGCUAUGUGACUUCUUAGCCCCUGGUUUGGUAAGGAUGCCAGCACACUGCCUCCCCAUUUUGCCUUAUGUACUUAAGUCCUUCGUGGCAAAUUUUAACAGCCUCUGGGUUUUAUGAUAUUCUUUUCCUAUGUGCUAGGAAUUAUCUUCUAUGAAGCUGUUCAAGUUUAAAUGUAUUAAAGAAAUUUUUUUUUUUAAGUUUAGGGGCACAGAGGCGCCUGGGUGGCUCAGUUGGUUAAGCGUCCAACUUCGGCUCCGGUCAUGAUCUCAUGGUUCGUGAGUUCGAGCCCCGCGUCGGGCUCUGUGCUGACGGCUCAGAGCCUGGAGCCUGUUUCGGAUUCUAUGUCUCCCUCUCUCUCUGCCCCUCCCCUGCUCGUGCUCUGUCUCUCUCUGUCUCAAAAAUAAAUAAAACAUUAAAAAUUUUUUUUAAAAGUUUAGGGGCACCUGGGUGGCUCAAUCAAUUAAGCAUCAACUCUUGGUUUUGGCUCGGGUCAUGAUCUCACGGUUCCUGAGUUCGAGCCCUGAGUCUGGCUCGGUGCUGACAGCAUGAAACCUGCUUGGGAUUCUCUCUCUCCCUCUCCCUCUGCCCCUCUCCUGCUGGCACUGUCUCUGUCUUUCUCAAAAUAAACAAGUGCACUUAAAAAAAAUAAAGGUUUAAAAAAGAAUUUUUUAAGUGUAUUUAUUUUGAGAGAGAGAAAGAGAAUAAGCAGGGGAAAGGCAGAAGGAGAGAGAGAGAGACAGUGACAGAGAGAGAGAGAGGGAGAGAGAAUUCCAAGCAGGCUGCAUGCUGUCAGCACAGAGCCUGACUCAGGGCUCGAACUCAGGAACCGUGAGAUCAUGACCUGAGCUGAAACCAAGAGUCAAACCCUUAACUGAUUGAGCCACCCAGGCGCCCCAAGUUUAAAUUUCUUUUUUAACAGAAAAGGAUGUUUCCUCAUUUCCUCAUGUUAGGAUAUUGAUUAAAAACUAGAGUCUUGGUAUGAAAAGGAAUAGAGUUAGAUAAUACACUUUUUUCAGGGUUUGAUUUUUUUUUCACAUGUUGACUUUUGGAAUUAAGACAAAGCCAGUUUCGACUGGGAAUAAAAUCAGCAUUGCCUCAACUAUGGGAUAUCUUUCUUUAUGUUUUUGAGCUGAUCUAGUGCCAUUCCAGAUAGUAACUCAAGAUCUGGGCUAAAUGGAACCAGAGUCCUUGAAUGGCAGCUAACAGCACCCGUCCCCAGUCCCUCCAAGUCACCCUCCAAGGAUACAGAAUAUGACUUGCUUUUGUUACAAUUAGAUCGCAGAACCUCAGGUAGGAAUAGUUUUCACUUUAUGUCACUUCCCAAACCAAAUCUUGCAAACACGUCCAGACAGGAGCUGGUGUUUUCUUACACAUGUUAACAUUGACCUUGCCACCUAGAAAAUCAACCCCCCCCAUCUGUUUAAAUCAGCAUUCCAUAUCCCUUUCACAUCAUUUCUUUUCCACCUGCUCCGUGGGGUAAGCCAGUCUGUUUCCACUCUGCACACACGCCAAAAAUCUGUAGAGUCCCAAGAAGUUGGACUUUCAGUGACUUUAAGAUGCAGAAAAACAGGCAUGCAAUUUGCUCAUUGGCUGACAUAUUUCCUUCUAAAUACCUGCCAUUGCUGUGUUUGAUAGGAAAAGUGCAUCUCAGAUAUUUCAAGUCAGUUUCAGUGUUAAGUAUUUUCUCACCUUUUAAUUAAUUCACUCUUAGAUCAGGGAAAGGUAACCUCAGUGAAAUAUACAUAACUUCCUGUGUGUCUUUUUGUGGUUAUUCCAUAGGCCUGGAAGGAAUCUUUGACUCUCUCCCAUUUGAACAAACAACAGCUUCAAAGUUGUCGACAGUGUACUAAGCAAAGAUACGAGAAUAUCCCCAGAAAGGAAAAUACGCCACGACGAAGUUGUUUCCUGUAUGUGAAUGCUGAGAUUUAAGGAAAUAUCGUGGCUCCCCUUUAACUCACAAAUAAAUUCUUUUUUUUUUUUUUGAACAAUUGCUCCCUUUGAGAUUUGCAAAUAGUUCCACUAGUUUACAUAGGUCUUUUUUCCUCCUUCCUUUUAAGUAUACCUCUUAAGUAAGCAGACACUUUAACUUGCCUUCUUAUUAGACAGCUUUUUCUUUAUUGCCUUUUCAUAGCACAGCUAUCAAAAAUAAGAUAAUACGCAAGAUCUGGGACCUAAUCAGCUUUCUAGCUGAGUUUAAAGAGUCUAGAGGCUGUUUAAAGGUAGCUCUGGUUAUGUGUGCGGGCUUUACUGCCUUGUUUGCUCGACCACAUUUUGAUGGAGAGGGUAAUGUGUUUGCUAGAUAAGGCAAAAGGGACCAGCCAAAAAAGCAAGGCUCUGUUUGAUAAACCCUGACAUAUUUAGCCAUUUUUCUCCCACAUGAAACGAAGCUUUAAAACUCUAAGAAAAAUAGAGGUGUUCGUUCAAGCACACUAAUGUUGAUCAAGACAAAAAAAAAAAAAAAAGAAGUAAAUAAAGAAAAUGGGCAUCUUUUAGUCUAUUAAAUUAAUUAGCUCCAGAGCUUAUCACGCAGUUGAAAAGCUGGAUAAAAUACAAGUCUGUUUCUCGUUGUUGUCAUUUGAUGUGAAGGGUGAGUUCUUUAAGUCAGUGUACGUUGAAAAGACAGUUGUUCUGUUCAGCUUGACUUGCCCUGGUAGAAGGUUUGAACCCUGUAUGAAGGAGCUCAUUAAGCAAAGUUAAACUCUUAUAAGGCCGAUCAGCAUGGACUUGGGAUGAGAACUCAGUCUGAAAUUAGGGUUGAACACACAUGAUGACAGUCUUUGUUAAGUGGCCUAUAGCCUGAAAACAGAUUUAAAAAGCCAGAAUCAAAAUAGGUCACCGGACAUCUACCGGUAACUAGAGGUCCAUAGAUAGCUUUACAAUCUGGAAUGAUGUAAAAAUGUUGGAGGUGAACUAUUGAUUAUCUUAUAAUAAUUUUCCUUUUCUAGAAAAAGUAAAGGAAUAAAAUGUCAGAAAGCUUCACAAAACAGAGCUGUCUCUCAAAAUGAGACUUGAACUGGUGUAGGUAUAAAAAUAAUUUGGGGCUCAAUUUUUAUCCCAUGGUUAAACUUUCAGUUAAUGUAGAAGGAAAUAUCCCAUGGUUAAACUUUCAGUUAAUGUAGAAGGAAAUAUCAAUCCUAAAUCAAUAUCCUAGUAAAAUUUUCUAUUUUUUUUUUCUCUAGAAAAGACACUUUUCAGGGCGCCUCGGUGGCUCAGUCGGUUAAGCAUCUGACUUCAGCUCGGGUCAUGAUGUCACAGUUCGUGGGUUCGAGCCCCGUGUCGGACUCUGUGCUGACAGCUCGGAGUCUGGAGGCUGCUUGGGAUUCUGUGUCUCCCUCUCUCUCUGCCCCUCCCCUGCUUGUGCGUGCGCACUCUCUCUCUCUCAAAAGUAAAUAAACAUUUUUAAAAAUUAAAAAAAAAAGAAAAGAUAUUUUUCUGAUUUCUUGUUUUUCUAAAUCACAAGUAUUUUUAUUAUUUUAUUUUCUUUUAAGAUUUUAUUUUUUUAAGUAAUCCCUACACCUGAGGCAGAGCUCAGACUCACAAUUCAGAGAUCAAGAGUCAUAUGCUACACUGACUGAACCAGCCAGGUGCUCUGAGAGGGGUUUUUUUCUUGUUUGUUUUUUAAGAUUUUAUUUUUAGGUAAUCUCUCCACCCAACCUGGUGCUUGAACUCACAACUUGGAGAGAAAGAGUCGCAUGUUCUACUGACUGAAUCAGCCAGGCGCCCCUAUAGAACGUUAUAAAAUAUAAUCACUUGAAUUUUUAGAACUGUGUUUCUUCUAUAUAUUAAUCAUUUUCAACAUUUUUUAUGGCUUAGUGUUAAUAAUCUCUAUGAGUGUAGAUUUUUAGAUGAAUUUAAUGUCAACUAGGGAUUAAUGUGAAUUAAUUAAAUUGACUGUAUCUUCUUUAAUGAGAAAAAAAGGAUUUAGUUUUAAUACUGAUGAUCUUAAUAAAGCUUCUCUCUACUUAUCUGUAUUUUCUCAACAUUAGGAAUUAUUUUUAUUAGAAGGUGAAUUAAUUUAAUAACGGCAGAGUGGGAAAACUUGAAAUAAAUCAAGUGAUUGCAAACUGACUUUGCUAUUGUUCUUGAGGCUGUGUAAUCAAACCGAAUAACUUUCAAUUAGGAAAGACCCAAUUUGUUGAAG
rnacentral:lncRNA from 1 species